rnacentral:rRNA from 1 species
UCAGACGAUGCGUCAUGCAUAUCAAUAAGCGGAGGAAAAGAAACUAACUAGGAUUCCCUCAGUAACGGCGAGUGAAGCGGGAAGAGCUCAAAUUUGAAAUCUUCAAGGUUCUACCUUGACGAAUUGUAGUUUAAAGAAGUGUUUUCUGUUGGGGUUUUGGUACAAGUUCUUUGGAAUAGGACAUCAUAGAGGGUGAGAAUCCCGUAUUUGACCAUUAUUUCCAGCUUUGUGAUACACUUUCAAAGAGUCGGAUUGUUUGGGAAUGCAGUCCAAAAUGGGUGGUAAAUUUCAUCUAAAGCUAAAUAUUGGCGAGAGACCGAUAGCGAACAAGUACCGUGAGGGAAAGAUGAAAAGAACUUUGAAAAGAGAGUUAAACAGUACGUGAAAUUGUCAAAAGGGAAGCGUUUGACACCAGUGUUGUUUUCUCGAAAAUCAAUUAAAAAGGGCAGGAUUUUGUGUUGUAUUGACUUUAUCAGCUUUCUGCACUCUUUUCUUGUCUUUUUUUAAUGCACUUUUCGUUUAACAAGUCAACAUCAAUUUCUUUUGUUGUAAAAGGGUCAUUGGAAGGUGGCUUUCUUUUCGGAGAAAGUGUUUAUAGCCUUUGGCCUCUGCAAUCGGAGAGAUUGAGGUCUGCAGCGUAGAUCCUUCGGGGUUAGAUACAUUUGUGCUAAGUUAUAGCCUUUCAUAGACAACUUGUUGACUAUGAUCAGUCAUGUAGCUUACUCGCUUAUGCUAUUUUACCUACGCUUAGGAUGUUGAUCUACAGAGCGAGAGU